CAGGAGGGGCCCUUGGUGCUGGGGCAGCUGGAGGUGCAGGGGCUGGGACAGGGGCUGGGACCGGAGCUGGGACAGGUGCUGGAGGAGGUGCAGGACCUACACCUGGCCCUGGCACAAGAGCAGGAGGAGAUGGCACUGUGACAGGAGCAGGAGGAGACAGGACAGGCGCAGGAGGAGCAGGCACAGGAGGUGAGCCUGGUGGUGCCGGUGGGGUUCUAGAAGGAUCUGGAAGUUCUGGUGGCCCAGGAGAUGGCACUGGCGUCACAGCUGGUGCUGUUGGAGGAGGGGUGGGAGACACAGGAAUCCCUAGCAUUGGAGGAAAACCAGAUCAAUCGGGACUCGGGGGGACAGCAAUCCCAGGUGGAAUUGCAGUGCCAGAAACUGGGGCUGGAGUUGUUCAACCCAGUGGUGAGUCUG